GGGACUCAAUAUGGCGGCGCGCGCUCGGCCGCUUGACCCCGGUGUCCCCUAAAGCGGGUAAGGGAUGAAACUUUCUCAUCUCGAGUCAUGCUGUUUUCGGAAACGUAGGGAUGCGUUUUAAUCCCUAUGCGCCACCCGCGGGUCGGCCCUCACCUGCGAGUCGGCUGACCGUGAAAGACCCUCACUUGCUGUGCACCGGAAGGGCUUGGUCUUCUUGGCCUCUGUUUCCCGGAAGUGGUUUCCCUCCACCUCCUCAGGAGGGCCGGCCUUCCCUAAGGGCGGAGUCUAGGGCUUCUUUGGGACUGAAUAUGCAUUAGCUUUUGGAAGUCCAGCUAUGAUUUUCCCCUAAGCAUUGUUACAAAGGCCGGACUGCGGCUCUGGGCACCGUUCACAUCCUCGGCCGCCUUUGGCUUUGUGACCUUGGGCCGGUUGUAUAAGCUCUCUGAGCUUCCCAGGUGACUUCUCUGCAAAGUGGGCUGGUAACGCCCGAGUUGGUGCUAAAUCCUAAAGUUCAUGCUGCGAACCGGUCCCUCAACAGAUCAGCCUCUGUUUGGUCUGCUGGCAGGCCCCACGGGCUCCUGAGAGACGUGAGAAGCAGCUUUGUAUGGGAGCCACCUCUGCUCGCGUUUCCACCCAGAAUCAAAGGACUGACCAUUCUUUCAAUCCCUAAGCGGUGUCUUUUCUAUCUAAUCCUAAUAACCAAGCCUGGAGGAAUUGUAGACUUUCUGGUUAAAGGUUCAACAGGUCUCCUCGUUUAAGGAUAGAGUUAAGUCUCAGUGAAGCUACAGAGGAGAAUCUGAAAAAUGCAAAUGUUACUACCUUAACCGAAAGAGGGAGGAGGGGGCGCUUUCCUAAAUGGCCUUUACCUUGGACCUUUUCUUUCUCCUGGCAUUUGGGCUGCCAAGGAUCUUGCUUCUGCCCCACCAACACACUGAAAGCAAGAGCUCUUGACGUGAUGACUAAGGAAUAGAAUUUGGUUUUCAUUCGGAGACAGCUGAUUCUGAAGCCAUCUUAAAGCCUAAGCAUAGCACAACUGCAUUCAUGAUUCUAUGAAUUCUUCCUACCAUUGGAACUUAGGGAAGGGGAGAGGAAGUGUGCAUCUAGGAAAUGUGGAAGGACACGCUCUUCCUUCUUUCAUCCUUCCGCUGCCUUCUAACUCUGUGGUCGAGUGUGGUCUUCCCAGGAGAGCAUCUUCCAGGAAACUUAUUAGAAAGGAAGAACCCCAGGCCUCAUUUCACAUCUGAAGCAGAGUCUGCCUUGUAGCCGACUCCUCAGCCAUUGCUAGGCAUGCUAAAGUUGACGAGGCCGUGGUUUAACUCCUGGGGUGGUCUGGUUUAAAGUGAUGAGAUGGCAUCAAAGAUGACGGAAGGACAGAGUCAGCAGAGCCAGAAUUUGGGGCAGUGGAGGCAGAGCACCUAUUUCCUGCAUUUGGGCACUGCCAGCAGGUUGAUUCAGAAGAUGGGUGAAAAAUUUGUUCCUGGGGUAGCAGGAGGAGCAUCACGACUUUGGAAUCGUUUGCUUAAAAGAAGGAUGAGCUUGGCUGUUCAUACCAUACAUCCCGGAGGUCUUCAGCAAGGUGAGGUUCCUCUGACCAAGAAGCCGGCUGCCUAGAUGCGCUAAGCACAGCUCCCUCGCAUAUUCUGGUGUCAUGCUCCAUCAUAAGUGACUAGACAUAGUUCCAGUGCUACCCAGCAGGAUCUCAUUGCUCAUGCAUUCCAAAGGCAAGAGUCUGCAUCUCAAAAAAUCAAAUACCUGGGAAUACACCUGACCAAGGAGAUUCAGCUCAGAAAAAGCUGGUGUUCAUUUAGUGGGUUCUCUUAAUCGUCAACGUUGGAUGACCAGUAAAUCUGCUCAAUAAGUCGUCUGGCAGCAGGAGGGUCCGCCUCUUCCACUCUUGGUGACGUUUCACAUUCUGGGAACCUCCUCCCGUCACCCCACAAUGGCGUUUUGUGUCUUGAUCCCCGUGGAAGAGCCCGGCGCACACACAGCUUAGCCUCUUCAUUCCUGGAGCCGUUCUACGUAUGCGAGACUGAAGCCAGGACAGAGGUCUUCAUCCUGGGUGUGCUUAUUCUUCACACCCUUCCCGAUGGUGGAGGUGAAGGUGCUGGUGGAUGAUAUAUCAGAAGCGACACCCCGGAACAGAGACCGCCUGUGACUGGAGCCCCAUUCCUGGCUGAACUGUACUGGGAAGAGCAGACCUGAGCAAGAUCUCUGAGACUUGGCCUCUGGCUUGAAGGUUGCACCACGGUGAGACUGAGAAGGCGCUUCCUGGAGGCCCCCAUUGACUCUGAAAGUUUCCAGUCUGGAAGAAAGAGAGCAGGUCGCUGCAAGCACUGAGGAUGAAAAGCCUCUGGAAACAAGGAACCGCCAGGCUUGGUCAGUGCCCCACCUGGAGAACAAGACCAGGUAGGUGACAGAAAUGAAGGGCAUGUCUGCUGAAUGAAUGUAUAGACAAAAUCAGUCGGUGACCUUAUGGGAAAAGGAAUCUCCCAGGUUUUCCUCUGCAGCAGUUUACGGACUCGUGCUUUGGAACAGCGUUCUUCUCGCUCACCUAUCCCACGUUGCUGUGGCUCUGGUGAAGGCCAUUGGCUACAGCUCCGAUUGGACCCCUAGCCUGGGAACCUCCAUAUGCCGCAGGAGUGGCCCUAGAAAAGGCAAAAAGACCAAAAAAAAAAAAAAAAUGCAUGGAGCCGCCACGGGUGCUGUUAGCCACUUGCAUGUGAUGGCUUCAUGUUUGAUGAGCUCAAGGCUUUUCAAGAGUAAAUACCAUCCCUUAAUAUAAUGUUUCUCAUAUGAGACGGAGGCAUCUAAGUGCAGUAACGCCUAUCAGGGAAUCAGCCGCUAAACCUGUGUUGGAAAAUCAAAAACAUUGAUGCUUCAGCCCUUGAUUAGGGCACUCAAAUUUUUAAAAUUCAAAAAGUUGCAGUUCCAUGUUUGCUUACUUGAAUAUUAUGGACGAUUAUUGAAAUUCAUAAAAGAAACUUUUACUGCCUCAUAGUACUUUCUUUUUAAUAGUAUUUUCUUCUUUUUAUUAUUUUCUGUAAUAAAAUUUAAAUUCUUGAAUAUUAUAGCCAAAUGACAUGCUCCUAAGAGCUACUUAAAUUUUUUAGGGAAUGCGCAGUCUUAAGAACCUUUAUCAGAACAGAAAAUAUAUUUGCUCAAUGUCUAUGACCCAGACAAAAGAAACAUAAUGAAAUUUCAUAAAAUUAAACUUAUUUAAUAAUUUAGUAAUACUUUUAUCUAUGUAUAUACUCGUGCCUUGCAACAAUUUAACAGUACAGAAAUUUGCUGGCACGAAUGCUUGGAUUUGCUCAUGACAAAUUCAGGUGAAAAUCAACCUUAUUUUUGAAAGUUUAAGAUUUGGCAGGUCCGCUGCUGGGCAUGGCACACGGAUAAAUCGUCGUUUCAGAGAAGGCCUCUGUGUUUGCUCAAGCGCAGCGGUGUUUUUUAAGUGAAGGCUGCUCCUGUUCUCUCCUGUCAAAAUCCAAGAUUCUAGGAGCCAGGUGAUUUCAGGACACACGGUGGUAAGUCCAUCGCAGGCCACUUUAGGAGCUGCAAAAAAAUGGUCAGAGGCCCUGGACGUCCAUGCUGAGACCUCCUGUCCAGAGCGGCAAACCCGCCAGCCUUAACAACGUGUAAUGUAUCUUCAUGCCCAGGAAAGCCUUGGCUCGCCGCUGAGGGUCUGUGCUUACAGACGGGGUUCCCUAAGCAGAGGCAUCGAUGCGGCCACCGCAUUACUUUCUGUGCUAUGUGCCCUCUGCUUUUCGAGCGAGUGUGAGGCCUGGCAGAGAGCAAGUCCUGGCUGCUGUUCAGCAGGCGCAUCAGGGCCACUGCGGGCAUUUAGAAGACGGAACACAACACCGAGUUCCAAGACCCACCAUGAAAACCCUGGCAAGGCGUUACUGAAAAUGUCUUCGUUUGGCUUGUGUGGAUGCACAAGGAAGCCCUUCCUUUACCAUGUUUGAUGCUGAUCAGUGGCUCUUUUCUCGUAGAAUCAAUACUGAGGAGGAAAACCGAUUAUCGUGAGGCCCGUGAGAAGAACCGUACCUUUAUCCGCCAUUGGUGAGCUAGGAAAACAUCUUCCAUGGUCCGUACUCAACGUAUAGGCACGUUUGUAUGUGAGUCUGUGUGUGCGUCUGUAUUUCUAUGUACGUACCCACAGACACGCAUCAGUAUGCAGACCCACAUACAUACAGACCUGUUUCAAAACAUACACAUGGGUAUGCCCUCAAGAAGAAAACUCUAUUAAACCAAAUAUUUCUGGGUUGCAAGCCGCCCCAACGCAGCCUGCAGUACCAUAUACUGACAGCGUGAUCUGACUUGACUUUGUGAUACACGUGGGUAGGGUGGAGUCUGGGAGUCUUCAAACCAGAUGCCAGAGAUCUGAAUGAGUAAAGAAGCGUUCAUCAAUAGCUGUCCACCUCUCCCAACCAGAGGCCCUCCUCCCUCUGCACAUUGCGGAGAAGAUUCGGCCGUACAAAGAGCAUGCCUGGAUUAAGAACAGGCCAAGCUCAAUAAAGAUUUGGAAAUACUCAAAUUGCUGGGAUGCUCGCCUCUCAAGCCAGAGGUUUUGUUACGUUUUAGGGACCUGUGAGCAGCAAAACAGAACACACCAGCAGCUGUUUUCCACGGGAAGGAAGAAAAAGGAAAAUAGAAAUAAGACAAUGUCACAGGACAAUCAGUCUCAUAGAAUGAAAUAUGGACGCGUAUGCCCCAGAGAAGAAUUUUCAUUUCGCCCAGGCAACGUCCGGAGAGCAGCGUACAUCACGACUCCCUGCUGUUCUGGGUAUCUUGCCUAAGUCACUGUUCGCAGGCAGGCGGUCUUCCUUGCCUUUGUGGAGAACGAAGCUUAAGCACUUGCAGAGGAGCAUUUCAUGUGUCAAUUCAUGGUAUAUUUCAGGUUACAAAUGCUCUGUUACAAUGAUCACACCUGAUAGCAACUGUCUUAAAUAUGUGAAUAAACAGGGCCUGAAAAACUG
rnacentral:lncRNA from 1 species